UCUCAUCCUACUCCUAACAACAACAUAUUCAGAAAAAUAACAAGAAAUUCAAAACAGUUGACAAUCAAACAUUUAUUUAGCAUAAAGUUGACAUUUCAAAACUUCUUCAAAUUAAAUCAUUAAAAUCUUUUAAAAUUCUUUGCAAUUAUUGGUCGACCAUGUGCACUGUUGCAGACUCUCAUGACUCUCGGUGCAUGCAACCAGACGCCUAAUUAACGAAUUUUCACGUCGUUUGUAAAAUAGUUUAUGAAUAAUUAAGACGUUUUAAAUGUGCAGUUAUGGGGCGAACGCAAACAGAGCGACAACGAUUUGUGCAGAUUUCAUGAAGGAAACUCCCGAGCCUCAAAGGCGUAUGGACGUCUGUGGAGAUGUCAUGCAUGUUUAUAUGUACUAUCGAAAUGACUGUUCUUACUUGUUUAAUGUUGGUAACAAAUGUAGACCAAAGUCUUUCCAAAUUAUCCAAAAAAUUAUGUAUCGCCCCUCCCUUUUUGAGUGGGGGGCAUUGAUGAGCUACAAAAAACUGGGUAGUAGUGAUAUUCAGAAAAUAAUAAAAUAUAGAUAUAAAAAUUCCA